CCUAAAACUACCACCAUGUCAUUAGAUAUGUUCCCAGAGAAAUUCAUUGCCACUUUUGUAGUGUAUACAUCAACAUGAAGAUCGUUAUGGUAGGGAUGGCGUUGAUGUUAUUCUUGACUAUGGUAGAAGCUCAGAAACGAUACAUUUCAUUUGGGGAAGUUCUCGUUUUACUGUCUUUCGUAGAUAAAGAUUGGGCCAUCAAAUCAACCGGAAGUAAUGACUUACCAUGUACAAUGUGUAUAGACGAAAACAAUUCUAUGUGUAUGCAAAUAUACUGUAUGGGUAAGAGGUAGAACUGAACGGCGAUACUGGACAGACCCCAAUGUUGUGAUUUACGUUUGUGUAUGAACAGAAAUGGACUUCUAAUGUGUCACAAGAAUAACAGUUGAAUUAUAAUGAUUCUAUUCUACACUUCAAGAAUUUGACUGGAAAUCGUUGUGUGUUAGUUUCCUCUCGAAAUGUAAUCGGAUUUAUAAUCAACAACUUUAAAUAAAAAUAAUUUACUUCGUUCAUCUA